AAUUAUUGACCAUGUCAUCAAUCAUGGCUUGUCCUUUAGAAAGGCUGGAGAAAGGGUCCAGCCCAUUCUGAGUCGGAGCACUGUGGCAUCUAUUGUCAGGCUUUUUCGGAAUGAGAACAGAAUCCACACAUUGCCACACACUGGUGGCAGAGGAAAGAUAUUUAGUAUUGAACAGGAGUCUGCCAUUGUAGAUAUGGUAGUGGCAAACAAUGCAAUCAGACUGCGUGAAAUCCAGGCAGCAGUAAUUGCAGAUCAGGGAGCAUUUAGGAAUAUAAACAGUGUGAGUUUGGCAACUAUAGAUCGAGUCCUUAAACGAAACCAUGUCAGAAUGAAGCAGCUGUACAGAGUUCCAUUUCAAAGAAACUCUGACAUUGUAAAGGAGGCACGAUUCCAGUAUGUGCAGAGAAUAAUGGAGCUUGAAGCUGAAGGGGCCACAUC